UUUGGACAAAAGAGCAACCUGAACACACACAUGAUAAUUCAUACAGGACAAAAAGCAUUUGUCUGUUCUGAGUGUGGUCAGAGAUUUCGACACAAGAGCACUCUGAUCAGACACAUGAUAAUUCAGACAGGGCAUAAAGCAUUUGUCUGUUCUCACUGUGGAAAAAGAUUUGGACACAAGAGCACUCUGACCACACACAUGAUAAUUCAUACAGGGC